CUGAAGAGGCAUUCAAGGCCAUCUUCAAAAUCUUGGUUUGGAAACUAACCAGCUGCCAGGCUUUGAUUGUUCCUUUGGCCCUGAGAUCACGGACAACAAGUACUCAAGCGUGGAAGAAGUGACUUGCUCAACCUCCCUUAGCAAGCUCACCAUGGCCGUGGUCUCAUGAUCAUCUGAAGAAGAGAAAACGCGAUUUGUUUCCAGGCCAUUCAAAUUUCUCAAUGCCUUGUGGAUAGUCUUUUGCAAAACUUUCCUGGAGAUGAACACAACAUCCUUAGCAGUGCUGCACAGGUCCAAGAGCCUA